rnacentral:rRNA from 1 species
UGCCAGCCGCCGCGGUAAUACGGAGGGUGCAAGCGUUGUUCGGAAUUACUGGGCGUAAAGCGCGUGUAGGCGGUUCGUUAAGUCUGAUGUGAAAGCCCGGGGCUCAACCCCGGAAGUGCAUUGGAAACUGGCGAACUUGAGUACGGGAGAGGAAAGUGGAAUUCCGAGUGUAGGGGUGAAAUCCGUAGAUAUUCGGAGGAACACCAGUGGCGAAGGCGCCAUCCUGGGCUAAAACUGACACUGAGGUGCGAAAGCGUGGGGAGCAAACAGGAUUAGAUA